AGGGUUGUAGUUAAAUUAACAUUUGAUUUGCAUUCAAAAAAUACUAAUUAUAUUAGUCUACCUUG
rnacentral:tRNA from 1 species